GACGAACGCUGGCGGCGUGCCUAAUACAUGCAAGUUGAGCGCUGAAGGUUGGUACUUGUACCAACUGGAUGAGCAGCGAACGGGUGAGUAACGCGUGGGGAAUCUGCCUUUGAGCGGGGGACAACAUUUGGAAACGAAUGCUAAUACCGCAUAAAAACUUUAAACACAAGUUUUAAGUUUGAAAGAUGCAAUUGCAUCACUCAAAGAUGAUCCCGCGUUGUAUUAGCUAGUCGGUGAGGUAAAGGCUCACCAAGGCGAUGAUACAUAGCCGACCUGAGAGGGUGAUCGGCCACACUGGGACUGAGACACGGCCCAAACUCCUACGGGAGGCAGCAGUAGGGAAUCUUCGGCAAUGGACGAAAGUCUGACCGAGCAACGCCGCGUGAGUGAAGAAGGUUUUCGGAUCGUAAAACUCUGUUGGUAGAGAAGAACGUUGGUGAGAGUGGAAAGCUCAUCAAGUGACGGUAACUACCCAGAAAGGGACGGCUAACUACGUG
rnacentral:rRNA from 1 species